UACAGGGGGUGCAAACGUUGCUCGGAAUCAUUGGGCGUAAAGCGCACGUAGGCGGUUCGUUAUGUCGGAUGUGAAAGCCCUUGGCUUAACCGAGGAAGUGCAUCCGAAACUGGCGAGCUAGAGUACUAAAGAGGAUCGCGGAAUUCCCGGUGUAGAGGUGAAAUUCGUAGAUAUCGGGAGGAACACCGGUGGCGAAGGCGGCGAUCUGGGUCGAUACUGACGCUGAGGUGCGAAAGCGUGGGGAGCAAACGGG
rnacentral:rRNA from 1 species